GACGAACGCUGGCGGCGUGCUUAACACAUGCAAGUCGAACGGAAAGGCCCUGCUUGCAGGGUACUCGAGUGGCGAACGGGUGAGUAACACGUGGGUGAUCUGCCCUGCACUUCGGGAUAAGCCUGGGAAACUGGGUCUAAUACCGGAUAGGAGCCAUUUUUAGUGUGAUGGUUGGAAAGUUUUUUCGGUGUAGGAUGAGCUCGCGGCCUAUCAGCUUGUUGGUGGGGUAAUGGCCUACCAAGGCGGCGACGGGUAGCCGGCCUGAGAGGGUGGACGGCCACAUUGGGACUGAGAUACGGCCCAGACUCCUACGGGAGGCAGCAGUGGGGAAUAUUGCACAAUGGGAGCAAGCCUGAUGCAGCGACGCCGCGUGGGGGAUGACGGCCUUCGGGUUGUAAACUCCUUUCGCUAGGGACGAAGCUUUUUGUGAAGGUACCUAGAUAAGAAGCACCGGCUAACUACGUG
rnacentral:rRNA from 1 species